GCCCUCGCGGGCAUCUGCGUUUCCUAGAGCCGCAAUUUCGCCUAGUAACCGGUCCCAACGCUGGCCCCACCCCCGGAGCCCGGGAAGGAGGAAGAGCUGGUCCCCUGCGCCCCGGUGACGAAGCCUAACCCCGGAGCGCGGGGAGGGGAGGGAGGGCAAGCAGAGGAUUUCGCUGGCUGGCGCGGGAUCCUGGAUGCUAGGCGGGCAGCAGAGACUGUCAGUUUCGGAUCCAAGGACGGUGAUGGCAAAGCAUUAAGGAGGAGUAACCGGCUGCCUGUCAGAUCAGACCUGUCACAGAAUAAAUAUCACCGCCUGCUGCGACGCCCCCCGCGCUCCUCAAACUUGGCGAACUGGUAAUCCGUGUCUGGAAAUGCAGAUCUUUGAUUUUAAAGGCGGGGUGACCCCGGGGAGAACCUCUCCCGCCUCCCGAAGCCCGCAGGUGCAGUGAGGCGUGCGCACGGGCGCUGGCGCCCCUGAAGCCCGCUUGACCCCGGGGGAAGGAGUCGGGGAGCCCAGCGGGGUCUUGCUGCUGCGCACCGGCGUCGGCGGCUCCUCUCCCGCAGUAGCAGAUGAUGGUGGCUGCCGGCGUGCUGGGCUGUGUCUGUGCGUCGCCGCGGAAAUCGGCGCCUGGCGCUGUACCCUGAGCCCUUGCAGGUCCGUCGCAGCUCGAGCCUUGAAGAGGACAGAACCGGCGCCCGGGGUACCCGAGGGUCGCGCGGUGUUGGCUUAUCAUGGCGGAUCGGACAGCUCCCAGAUGCCAGCUCCGGCUGGAGUGGGUGUACGGGUACCGGGGUCACCAGUGCCGCAACAACCUGUACUACACCGCCAGCAAGGAGGUGGUCUACUUUGUAGCUGGGGUAGGGGUGGUGUACAACACCCGAGAGCACAGCCAAAAAUUUUUCCUGGGACACAACGACGACAUUAUCAGCCUUGCCUUACACCCAGAUAAAACUCUGAUUGCAACUGGCCAAGUUGGGAAGGAGCCAUAUAUAUGCAUAUGGGACUCCUAUACUGUCCAGACUGUGUCUAUUCUUAAAGAUGUUCAUACACAUGGAGUUGCAUGCCUGGCUUUUGACUCGGACGGACAGCAUUUAGCCUCUGUGGGAUUGGAUGCCAAAAAUACAGUCUGCAUUUGGGACUGGAGAAAGGGAAAACUUCUGGCCUCCGCUACUGGCCAUUCUGACCGGAUUUUUGAUAUUUCCUGGGAUCCAUAUCAGCCAAAUCGAAUGGUUAGCUGUGGAGUAAAGCACAUAAAGUUUUGGACACUAUGUGGAAAUUCCCUGACUGCAAAAAGAGGUAUAUUUGGCAAAACAGGAGAUCUUCAGACUAUCCUUUGCCUUGCAUGUGCCAAAGAAGACAUCACAUACUCUGGUGCUUUAAAUGGCGACAUUUAUGUCUGGAAAGGGCUCACCCUAGUCCGCACUAUUCAAGGAGCACAUAGUGCUGGAAUCUUCAGCCUGUAUGCCUGUGAAGAGGGCUUUGCUACCGGUGGGCGAGACGGUUGCAUACGCUUAUGGGACACUGAUUUCAAACCAAUAACCAAAAUUGAUCUCAGGGAGACGGAGCAAGGAUAUAAAGGCCUCUCUAUUCGGAGUGUGUGCUGGAAAGCUGACCGCCUUCUAGCAGGAACCCAGGACAGUGAGAUAUUUGAAGUCAUUGUUCGAGAGCGGGAUAAGCCAAUGCUCAUCCUUCAGGGCCACUGCGAGGGGGAACUCUGGGCUCUGGCCUUGCACCCUAAGAAGCCUCUGGCUGUGACAGGCAGUGAUGACCGCUCUGUCAGGCUGUGGAGUUUGGCAGACCAUGCUUUGAUUGCCCGCUGCAAUAUGGAGGAAGCAGUCCGUAGUGUAUCCUUCAGCCCAGAUGGAUCUCAGUUGGCCCUGGGCAUGAAAGACGGCUCUUUCAUCGUCCUCCGAGUCAGAGAUAUGACAGAAGUGGUCCAUAUCAAGGACAGGAAAGAAGUCAUUCAUGAGAUGAAAUUCUCCCCAGAUGGCUCAUACCUCGCAGUAGGAUCCAAUGACGGCCCUGUAGAUGUCUAUGCUGUUGCCCAGCGCUAUAAGAAAAUAGGAGAAUGCAACAAGUCACUUAGUUUCAUCACGCACAUCGACUGGUCUCUGGAUAGUAAAUACUUGCAAACCAAUGACGGUGCUGGGGAGAGACUGUUCUACAAAAUGCCGUCAGGGAAGCCUUUAACAAGUAAGGAGGAAAUCAAGGGGAUCCCCUGGGCCUCCUGGACGUGUGUGAGAGGCCCUGAAGUGAGUGGAAUUUGGCCCAAAUACGCUGAGGUUAUUGACAUCAAUUCGGUGGACGCCAAUUAUAACAGUUCAGUGUUGGUGUCCGGAGAUGAUUUUGGACUGGUCAAAUUGUUCAAGUUUCCUUGUCUCAAAAGAGGAGCCAAAUUUAGAAAGUAUGUGGGCCACUCGGCACAUGUCACAAGUGUUCGCUGGUCCCACGACUUCCAGUGGGUGCUAAGCACAGGAGGAGCUGAUCACGCCGUUUUUCAGUGGAGAUUUAUCCCAGAAGCAGUCAGCAAUGGUGUGUCGGAAACCACACCCCAGGCAGGUGGUGCCGACUCUUGUAGCGAAGAAUCUGACUCAGACGUCUCUGAUGUUCCAGAACUGGACUCUGAUAUUGAACAAGAAACUCAGAUCAAUUAUGAUCGCCAGGUUUACAAAGAAGAUCUACCUCAGCUAAAGCAACAAAGUAAAGAGAAAAACCAUGCAGUGCCCUUCCUGAAAAGGGAGAAGGCUCCUGAGGACAGCCUGAAACUGCAGUUCAUACAUGGUUACAGAGGCUAUGACUGUAGAAACAAUCUGUUCUACACACAAGCUGGAGAGGUGGUGUACCACAUUGCUGCCGUUGCUGUGGUGUACAACAGGCAACAACACACCCAGAGGCUGUACCUGGGGCAUGAUGAUGACAUUCUCAGCCUGACCAUCCAUCCGGUGAAGGACUAUGUGGCCACUGGACAGGUGGGAAGAGAUGCUGCUGUCCAUGUGUGGGACACUCAGACUCUAAAGUGUCUGUCAUUAUUGAAAGGACACCAUCAGAGAGGAGUGUGUGCUCUGGAUUUCUCAGCUGACGGAAAAUGUCUCGUGUCGGUUGGUUUAGAUGACUGUCACAGUGUUGUGUUCUGGGACUGGAAAAAGGGAGAAAAGAUAGCUACAACAAGGGGACACAAAGAUAAAAUAUUUGUGGUAAAAUGUAAUCCACACCAUGCUGACAAGUUGGUGACAGUUGGGAUUAAGCAUAUCAAGUUCUGGCAACAAGCAGGUGGGGGUUUCACCUCUAAAAGAGGAAGUUUUGGAAGUGCUGGAAAGUUGGAAACAAUGAUGUGUGUUUCUUAUGGGCGAAUGGAAGACCUGGUGUUCUCGGGUGCAGCCACUGGAGAUAUCUAUAUCUGGAAGGAUGUUUUGCUACUGAAGACGGUAAAGGCUCACGAUGGGCCUGUGUUCGCUAUGUAUGCCUUGGACAAGGGCUUUGUAACAGGUGGAAAGGAUGGAAUUGUGGAACUCUGGGAUGAUAUGUUUGAAAGAUGCUUGAAGACUUAUGCUAUCAAAAGGGCUGCAUUGUCAACCAGCUCAAAAGGCCUGCUUUUGGAGGAUAACCCUUCAAUUCGUGCAAUCACCCUGGGGCAUGGACACAUUCUUGUGGGGACAAAAAAUGGAGAGAUUCUAGAAAUCGAUAAGAGUGGCCCGAUGACCCUGCUUGUUCAGGGACACAUGGAAGGGGAAGUGUGGGGGCUGGCAGCACACCCUCUCCUGCCCAUCUGUGCCACAGUAAGUGAUGACAAAACACUUCGGAUCUGGGAAUUAUCCUCCCAGCACCGCAUGCUGGCAGUACGAAAACUUAAAAAAGGAGGAAGAUGCUGUGCCUUCUCCCCCGAUGGGAAAGCCUUAGCUGUUGGAUUGAAUGACGGAAGUUUCUUGGUGGUGAAUGCUGACACCGUGGAAGACAUGCUCUCCUUCCAUCACAGAAAAGAAAUGAUCUCCGACAUAAGAUUUUCAAGAGAUACAGGAAAGUACCUCGCUGUGGCAUCCCAUGAUAACUUCGUGGAUAUUUACAACGUGCUUACAAGCAAGAGGGUUGGCAUCUGUAAAGGAGCGUCUAGUUACAUCACACACAUUGACUGGGACUCUAGAGGGAAAUUACUGCAAGUUAAUUCAGGUGCCAAAGAACAGCUUUUCUUUGAAGCUCCAAGAGGCAGAAGACACACAAUAAGGCCGUCAGAGACUGAGAAGAUAGAAUGGGACACAUGGACCUGUGUCCUGGGGCACACCUGUGAAGGAAUCUGGCCUGCUCACAGCGACGUGACUGAUGUCAAUGCUGCCAGCCUUACCAAAGAUGGCUCUCUCUUAGCCACUGGGGAUGACUUUGGUUUUGUGAAGCUUUUUUCAUAUCCUGUCAAGGGACAGCAUGCAAGAUUUAAGAAGUAUGUGGGGCACAGCGCACACGUUACCAACGUGAGGUGGUUGCACAAUGACUCUGUGCUGCUCACGGUAGGAGGAGCUGACACAGCCUUGAUGAUCUGGACCAGGGAAUUUGUGGGGACUCAGGAGAGCAAGCUGGUUGACAGUGAGGAGUCAGACACAGACGCAGAAGAAGACGGAGGCUAUGACAGCGAUGUUGCUAGAGAGAAAGCCAUUGACUAUACCACCAAGAUCUAUGCUGUCAGCAUCAGGCAAAUGGAAGGCACCAAACCACACCAGCAGCUAAAAGAGGUGUCCAUGGAAGAGAGGUACGGUGUUUGCAAGGUCCGCUUGCAUUUCUUAUACCUGACAGCAAACCGAUUUGAACUAGUACAUCUUAUUUGCCCUGUAAUUUGGCCGAAGUGAGACCUUUUUUUUAUCUGCCUAGAGUCUUAACACAGACUUAAGUUGAAGGAAGUUGACCAGUGCCCUCACACAAGCCGAAAGUCAUUCAAAAUUAUACAGAUUGGUUGUUGUGUGUGGUUUGGAUAGGUAAGAAAUUUGGUUGGACUAGGUUUCCCUGACAAGGGGAGGAAGCAAGGGACCCCAAAGGAUGUUCUGAAUGCACACUUAACAAGACACCACAUUGAUCAGCAGGGUAGGAGCAGGUCAUGACUUUGAAGUGAGUGGAAUCUGUGGGACUCACCUCCCAUUCUGACCAGUCUUUCUUUGACACUUUGUCAAUGGAUAUGCUUUCUCUUACUGCAUCCCCACUGUGCAGGAGGCUGGAAUUGCUAGACCUGACCUGCUUGAUUUCUGUCGCCCGAACAUCGUCGCAUAGACAGUGAACUUCUAAUGCUAUUUUGUGCCUGUCUGAUUCCCAGUUUUAAGUACUGACAAGACAAAUGACCAAGCACUGUAUAAUUUUAAAAUACCAAGUUCGUAAUUACAUAAUUGACUAUGUUCCUAGUUGGUAAGAGGAGAUAUUGGAUAGAAACUAGAAUCUGAAGAGAAUCUCAGAGAUCUGACGCACCUCGGGAGAGUUGUCUGUGGGUUCUUUUCGUUGCGGUAGGCUGAAUGGUCACAAUGACCCCCACACCACACUGGGAGAUUCGUGGAUUUGCUGUUUAUAGAGCCUUCUGACCAAUAAAGCUAUGUGGUAGACAAGACGUUCCCUACUUACUCUUAAGAUGUGGCUUAAGAUCCAACCUCUUGCCUCAGUUCAGUGAUAGCUUUACUGUAGCUGUCAGUAAAGAUGCACGAAACAGAAAAACCCUAAUUCUCCCCCUGCAUCUUUAAAUAUGCUACAGUACUAAUGGAAAAUUUUCUUUUGCUUAAAAGAUAGAAUUUUUGGUAGCGGUUUUUAAAAUAUAGUUUCUUUUUCUGAAAGUGGCUACAAGGAAAAUUAAUGUUUAAAGGACUUAAUCCUAAAAACUGAACAAAUAAACACACACACACACACACACACACACACACACACACACACACACACACAAAUGCAAGCCACUUAACUGAUCCAUCCAAGAAAGGCAUUUGGUCUGGGUCAGAUCUUUUUAAAAAUAAAGUAUCCGACCUCUCCAAUUUCACUUUCCAUUGUCAGUGGGAUCGGCUUGCCCAUCUUUCCAAGAGUGUUCAAGCUGGUUCUAUAAAACUCAGUGGUGUAUCACACUAAAGCUCAGACCACUCAACUAAGAUCCAGCCAUGUAAACACUGUUCUGAGGUCCUGGUCCCUCAUCUGAUUCAGGUGUAGCCCAUGAUCACACAACCGCUCCUGGUCUCACGGCCUCUUUGCACAGCUGUACAAAAUCCAUGCUGCCUAAUUGAAUAUGAGAUGGCGAUGAGGAGGCCAAUAGUUUUCCACUUUAAGAUUACAUUUUUGAACACACCUUAUUUUCUUUAUUGUUCCAUAUUGAAGAGUUGCUAUACAUUAGGGUACACUGAAUUGAAUCUUUAUUUUUUAAAAACAAGAAGAAAAACUUCAUAGAAUUAUGAGCAAGUACUUUUCUACUGGCACUUUAAAAAAUAACUCACCCUUGAACCCUUGAAUGCAGUGAAGAAAACAUAUGGGAAAGAAAACCAUUUUAAGAUAAGUAUAGGCCAGCAAUUUCCUUGAUAACAAAACAAACAAACAAAACAUUCGAGAGCCCCAGUUUGUAGAAGGGCUUUUAACCACAGAGAUAGUAGCAGCUACAUGUCAUGCUGGGAGCUGAGUGUGCCCAGUAACCAGUUAACCUGUAGGGAGAAAAAUCAUAAUCUCAACUAAGCAGUCUCUCCCCAUCUUGGUCAGUAAUUUUAGGGGGUUCGACCUCAGAGAUAAGACUAGGCAGCUUGUGACCACAGAAGACAGAAGUAUAGGGCAGGUGGUGCCUUCAGGAAAUUAGUGAGAAUCCACAAUGAGAGAGAAUGGGGGGGGUGCUGAGGCCUUGAAGCCAGGAGUGACAAUAAAUCAUGUAUUACAACGUGGCUUCAUGAGUUCUAGCCUCCUGUGAAAGAGGGGGAAGAACGAGUGGUGCCUCCUGUAUCAGGAGCACUACACCAAGCAGUACCCAGCUUCUCCCAGGGAGUGUUAGGGCCAGUGCCUUCCUUUGGCUCCUUCAAGCUUUAUUGAUUUUUCUUGUCCCCGAGGUGUGUAAUACUGAAGGUACCUGGAGCAGGACAUAUACCAGUGACAGUGAAAGAGACAAGCACCAGAGCACUGCUCCAUGCAAGGACUUUGACUUUGUCUCCUAACUACGCUCCAGGCAUCUGAGUCUAACUGAAUCCCUUCCCACCCUGCUCCCUGAGAAGAGUGCAGCAGCUGUCACACUGAGAAAAACAUGCUGGCUGACAGCUGCACAGUUUGCAUCAAUCAUUUGGAAGCAACUGAACUUUUAAGUUUCUAAGACAGCCAUGAAUUGUUUCUAAUUACAUUUAGAUAUUUAAAAUAGCUGUGAGACUACAUGAUGCCUUCUUGUGCAACUUCUAACAUAUUGUGACUUUUAUGCUUCAAAAGUCAUAUGACCUUCAGUUCCAAUAUUUUGGGAAUUGAGAAAGUUGAGGAAAAAAAAAUAAUUUCCCUGAAGAGAACACCAGGCCACACUUAGCGAAUGUGAAAUAUGCCAAUCACAUUUCAGCUUUGCCCCAGCUUGCCAUAUGGCUCCUCCGCUUGGAUUCCUUCAGGCAGCCCCAACCUUGGAUGCAGCCUUAGCAACCUUCUCCUCCCACAGUCAGCUCUGCUGACCCCUCCCAUGCGCUGAAACCAGUCAGAAGCAGAAAGGCUGGAAGAACCUAUGGAUGCUGCCCAUAAGGGGUGGGUAGUGGGAAGGAGAAAGGCAGGAGAUGUAGGUAGGGUACACAAUUCCAAAACAUUCUCCCUUAUUGCUUUUGCUAACCGAAAAUCAACAGCUUUUACACAGGUUCUGGGAUUCAAACUUGGGUCCUCAUGCUUGCAUAGCAAGCUCUUUACCCACUGAGCUAUGUCCUUAAGCCAACCAUUUAUUUUAUUUUUUUACUUAUUCACUUUACAUCCCACUCACUAGCCCCCCUCCUGGUCAUCCCCUCCCACAAUCUUUCCCCCAUUCCCUCUCCCCUUCUACUCUGGGUGUGUAGGGGCCUCUGGGUAUCCCCCACCUGGCACCUCAAGUCUCUGUGAAGCUAGGUGCUUCUUCUUCCAAUGAAGCCAGACAAGGCAGCCCGGCUAGAAGAGCAUAGCCCACUGACAGGCAUUAGCUUUGGAAUAGUCCAUGUUCCCAUUGCUCAGGAUCCACAUGAGGGCCAGGCUGCACAUCUGCUAAGUGUGUGCGUGGAAGCUUAAGUCAAGCCUAUGUGUGUUCUUUGGUUGGUGGUUCAAAUUUUGAGAGCCCCAGGGGUCCAGGUUAGUAGACUUUGUUGGACUUCCUGUGGAGUUCCUAUUCCCUUUGGGGCCCUCAAUCCUUCCUCCUACACUUCCAUAAGAGUCCCUAAGCUACAUCCACUCUUUGGCUAUGGGUGUCAGUAUCUGAGUCAGCUACUGGGUGAAGUUUCUCAGAGGACAAGCAACAUGCUCCUGUCUGUAAACAUAACAGAGUAUCAUUAAUAGUGUUAGGGAUUGGUGCCUGCCCAUGGGAUGGGUCUCAAGUUGGGCCGGUUAUUGAUUGGCCAUCCCCUUGGCCUCUGCUCCCUCCCCCAACUCCAGCCAUUUAUUUUUAAGUGCCUACUAUUUGGCACAGGUAUUAAGACUGGAGAGACUAAGUUCAGUGACUAAGAGCACUGGUUGCUCCUGUAGAAGACCCAGAUUUGAUUCCCAGCACCCACAUGGCAGUUCACAACUAUUUGUAACUCCAGUUCCAGGGAAUCUGACAUCCUCUUCUAGCCUCUGUGAGCACCAGGCACACAUACAAUGAAUGUGUAUACAUGCAGGCAAAAUGCCCAUAUACAUUUAAAAAUAGUAACAAAAGUUUUAAAAGUCUAAACUGUGUGGAAGGUGGUAACAAUAGAGGUUUUUAUUUACUAUAUUCAGUUGGACCCAGCGUUCAGACAGAAGCCUGCUUUCAAGGUAAAGCCACAGCAUGAGCACAGCCUGGGCUCUGUUAUGAAAACUGGCAGUCUUUUAAGCCAGUUUUCUCUCUGCGCACAUAUGGAAAGCCUACACUUUUUCAGACCCUUCGUUAAUAAGCACCAAGGCUCAUAGCUUUUGGUGACCUAACCCCGGAUAAAUAAAGGAUCUAGGGCUCUCACUCUCUGCCUCUACACACUGUUUCUGACAUUCUUGUGCUAUUAAGGUCCUUGUCACCUGUGACUAAGCAGGCUCAACCCAACCUUCUUUGUGUUCUUCUCCCAGAAGCUGCCUAACCCGUGGUCACAAAUCAAAAUCUUGCUUGAUCUGAGGCAUCGUUUCCUUUGCUCAGAAAGGUCUUGGGCUGGCAGCUUUGUUUAGCCUGAAAAACGCAUUUCUCCUUGUAAAAAAUGGAUGAAGUAGCAAAGUUUGUAAUGUUUGAACCUUGUCUUAGCACCAGUUUAUGUACUCACUAGCUGUGAAUAACUAUAGAAUUAUGGCAUUCAUUUUAGUUGCUAGUGUCUCAGAUAUGUUUAAUGUUUUUACAUUUGUUCAUUUAUUUGUGUGGAGGGGGAAGGUACACUUGUGACACUGAGAAAAUCACAGGACAGUCUGUAAUAACCAGUUCUUGCCUUCUGUCAUUCUGUCCUGAAAGCUAAACUCAGAUCUUUGGGCUUGGCAGUUUCCCUGCUGAGCCUCUCAAUGGCUCUGAUCAGACAGAUUUGGUCUGGAUACUCAGCUGGUGUGUGUGUGUGUGUGUGUGUGUGUGUGUGUGUGUGUGUGUGUGUGCAUGCGCAUGCACAGUGGAAGGAGAGUGGGCAGUACAUUAAUCACCACUUUAUUUUCUAAAAAGCUUUUAAAUGACAAAUUAUUUGUGUAUCAUACUACAAUAUUACAUUGUAAUACAAAAGCACUUUUAUAUUAUGUUUCUCAUUGUUGUGGCAAACCUGACAAGAGCAGCUGCAUUAGUCAGCACCCUCUAGAGGAACAGAACUAGAAGAAUGAAUAUAUAUUUAAAGAGAAACUUAUUGGAAUGGCUUAGGCAAGGCAAUCAGUCCAACAAUGGCUGUCUCACACUGAAGAGACAGAGCCCAGCCGUGACUCGUCUCUGAGGCUGGAUGCUCAUGAGGUCCAAUAUGGUGCUAAAGGCCUGAGGCAUUACUGAAGAGCCACUGAUCUUUACUCCCCAUCGGAGCUCAAAGAAGCAGGUUCUAAUAUCAGCAAAGGGGUCAGCAGUGGCCACAGCAGACUAGAUGAACUCUCCAGUUAGAGCAAUGGCCAAGAGAGUAAGGAACACAAAAUGUUCCUUCUUCAAGGUGCUUUUAUCUGCCACAUGAGCAGAAAGUCUUCCCAAACCAGUUAAAGCGAUGAAGACGUCUUGACAUGGGAAGGACCUUGCCUUCAGGCUGCAUCUCAGUGGGGCUGUGUGACAGUGGGUGUUCAGGUGGCUUCUCCUUUCCUGUCAGGUUUCUUUCCAUGUGUGUUGAUGGUGGUAGUGCAUACAGCAGUACCCAGUCCCUUGCAAUCCCCAUAGUGAGUUGAUCUUAGCUCUCAGUUCCUUACCUUUCCAUAAUUCCAGUGUGGACCCUGCAGACAAUUCAGUUCUCCUGCAGUGCUCCUCUUUGAGACUUGCCAUUUCUCCCUUACCCCUCUCCCAGUCCCUAGCAACAAGAGAGGCCUAACAGCUUUCAUAUAAGAGACAGUCCCCUUGUUUACAUAUGGUUUAGUGCCCCUAGAUCUGUUCCAAGUGAGCUCUGCUUUCCAUUCCUUCUUGGGGACAGAGGAAAAGCUGUCACUUUGCAAACUGCGGUCUACCACAAAGAUAGCUCACCCUCCUUGAGUCUCAUCAGCCAGGAGGAGGAAAUACUUGCUUAGCAGACCAGCACUGACAGGCCAGUGACACAUGAGCAGUGAAAGAGCUUACCAAAAGGGAAGAAGGCAGAGGUUUGUAGUUCAUUGGCUGCAUGGUGUUGGCAGCCAUAAUGGGUAAGACUCCCCCUAUUAGGCCAGUUUCCAUGUGGACAGACGGUGUUUCUGUGCCACUGUGUGGCAUCUGUUGAAGUCUUACUGAGUAGAGUACGGAUAUGGGGCUCAUAUCUGAGUGGAUAUGCCAUAACUUUUUGAAGAAUAAAUUUCACACUGUUAAUUGUUUCUUUUUGAGACUAUCAGUAUAAGACAGCCUGCGUGUCUAGGAGCCAGACUCCUGAUGGGCUGAGGCUGCUUAUUAAAGUAUUUCUCUGGAACAAUGUCAUGGCAACCUAAAACAGACUGCAGAUAGGGCUUAGCUUCAGGUUAGCUCUUUUUGGUCCCUCCUCAGAAACAACAGCUUCCUUCUUCUAAGCCCAGCUUGCAUUCAUCCAAGAAUGGUACCCAUCACAUUGAGGUGGCAGGACAAGAAUUGGUCAUAGCAGGGAUUAUGAAAAAGAACCUGUAAGAAUUCUCCAUUUUAGAUACAUAUUCACUCUUCAAUCUAUGGCAUAUAUUCCUGAGGAAAACAAGGAACUUUUACCAACCCUAAAAUUAGAUUUUUGAGCUCAAAACACAUUUUUUGUUUUGUCUUGUUUUGCAUUUAUAUAUGUGUUUGUGUGUGUUUAUAUGUGUGGGGCACUACUUCUUCCACAAUGUGAGUCUGGGGGCCAUACACAAGCUUGAGGGUCAGCAGCAAGUGCCUUCAUCCACGAGCCUACUCACCAACCCUAGCUAUGAGCGCUUUUAAAUGAGUGUCUUUACCUGCUAACUGACAGGGGAUACCUGCAAAUGACCCCAGAGUUCCACUGUGGCAUUAAUAUUUUCCAAACUUUUUAGAUACCUAUGGUUAAAUGGAUAUGAUCUAAAAUUUUAUUUUGAAGUUUGGCUGUUUAUAUACCUAAGCAAAAAAAAAACCUAGUUAUAAAGGAAUGUCUACUACAUAUACUAUAAAGAAGUGUUAUAGGGAUUUUGUUGGUUGGUUGGUUGGUUAGUUGGUUGAUUGGUUGGUUGGUUGGUUAGUUGGUUGAUUGGUUGGUUGGUUGGUUAGUUGGUUGAUUGGUUGGUUGGUUGGAUUUUUUGAAUCAAGUAUAUCUGUAUGUGACUAUGCAGGUAUUCUCAGAGUUCAGAGGUAUUAGACCCCCUAGAGUUGCACUUACAGGCUGUGUGAGGGGUCAUGUGUGGGUGCUGGGAACCAAGCUUGGGACUCAGAAAGGCCAUGCUAGCAAGUAACCACAGAGCUGUCUCUCUAGCCCUGGUUUUGUUUUCUUGUUUCUGCCCCAAAUUGAUUGCCUCCUGUAAUUCCUUAAUAGGUUCAUCUGUAACACUGAGACAUUUCUACUGUAUGCAGACUUUUUCUGUGGGACUCUUGGCUUCCUAACGGUUUGGUCAUGGUCCACCAUGUAGGUAGCUGGCAGAGUAUAUUGCACAUAGUAGGUAACUGGUACAGUACCUUGCACACAGAGCCUUGCACACAGUAAGUAGCAAGCAAAUGCUUCUUAAAUGAGUAAGUGGAUACAUCAGUCUUCCAAAGGCUCUGCAAAUCCACUCCUUGUCAGCAGCUGCUUUUACUUUCAUUUUAUUAGCACCUGUGGUUAUGGGAGACAGGUAAUCCAUGCAGAAUCUGGGGAUGCCCUAAAUGGCUGUGGAGACAGCUUAAUACAGCUAUUUUUUUUAUCUCUAUCAUAUACACAUGAAAAACAAUGACUUCAUGAAAUUCUUAGGCAAAUGGAUGGAACUAGAAAAUAAAUAUCAUUCUGAGUGAGGUAACCCAAUCACAAAAAAACACACAUGGUAUGCACUCAUUGAUAAGUGAAUAUUAGCCCCAAAGCUUGGAUUACCCAAGAUUCAAUCCACAGACCACAUGGAAUUCAAGAAGGAUGACCAAAAUGCGAAUGCUUCAGUACCUCUUAGAAGGGGGAACAAAAAUACUCAUAGGAGGGAAUACAGAGACAAAGUUUGGAGAAGAAACUGAAGGAAAGGCCACCCAGAGACUGCCCCACUUGGGGAUCCAGCCCAUAUACAACCACCAAACCCAGACAAUAUUGCUGAUGCCAAGAAGUGCAUGCUGACAGGAACCUGAUAUAGCUGUCUCCUGAGAGGCUCUGACAGAGCAUUACUAAUACACGGGUGAAUGCUAGCAGCAGACCAUUGAACUGAGAACGCAGCCCCCAUUGGAGGAGUGAGAGAAAGGAUUGAAGGGGCUGAAGAGGCUUGCAACCCCAUAAGAACAACAAUACUAACCAACCAGAACUCCCGGGGAUUAAACCACCAUCCAAAGAGUACACAUGGACAGACCUAUGACUCCAGCUGCAUAUGUAACAGAGAAUGGCCUUAUUGGGCACCAGUGGGAGGAGAAGCACUUGGUCCUGCCAAGGCUGACCCCCCCCCCAUGUAUGGGGAUGUCAGGGCAGGAAGGGGGUGGUUGGGGAGGGGGUUGAGCCAAUGGGAGGAGAGGACCUUGAUCCUGUCAAGGCUUGAUGCCCCAGUAUAAGGGAAUGUCAGGGUGGGGAGGGGGAAGGGGUGUGGAUGGGAGGGGGAACAUCCUCAUAGAAGCAGGGGGAGGGGAGUAUGGGACAAGGGGGUUAUGGAUGGGAAACCAGGAAAGGGAAUAACAUUUGAACUGUAAAUAAAAAUAUUCAAUAAAAACAAAUAAAUAAAU